rnacentral:tRNA from 1 species
GUCGCUUUAGCUCACUUGGGAGAGCGCCAGACUGAAGAUUACUUCGGUCCAACGCACUGUGCGGUAUCUGGAGGUACUGUGUUCGAUCCACAGAAGCGACA